rnacentral:snoRNA from 18 species
AUUCCUUCAUAUCCUGCACGCAGUUAUUCGAUGGCUGUGGAGCCUGGAAACGGAGGAUAGAUAAGUUUAAAUGAAUACUAAUGCUUGGUGUCUUCUGAAGACACCGAGAUUGUGUGAAUUUGAACAUCA